rnacentral:rRNA from 1 species
UGGGGAAUAUUGGACAAUGGGCGCAAGCCUGAUCCAGCCAUGCCGCGUGAGUGAUGAAGGCCCUAGGGUUGUAAAGCUCUUUCACCGGUGAAGAUAAUGACGGUAACCGGAGAAGAAGCCCCGGCUAACUUCGUGCCAGCAGCCGCGGUAAUACGAAGGGGGCUAGCGUUGUUCGGAAUUACUGGGCGUAAAGCGUGCGCAGGCGGUUAUGCAGGACAGAUGUGAAAUCCCCGGGCUCAACCUGGGAACUGCAUUUGUGACUGCAUAGCUGGAGUGCGGCAGAGGGGGAUGGAAUUCCGCGUGUAGCAGUGAAAUGCGUAGAUAUGCGGAGGAACACCGAUGGCGAAGGCAAUCCCCUGGGCCUGCACUGACGCUCAUGCACGAAAGCGUGGGGAGCAAACA